rnacentral:rRNA from 1 species
AAUUGACGCUGGCGGAAUGCUUUACACACUGCAGUUUAACGGCAGCACGGACUUCGGUCUGGUGGCGAGUGGCGAACGGGUGAGUAAUAUAUCGGAACGUGCCCAGUCGUGGGGGAUAACGUAGUGAAAAUUACGCUAAUACCGCAUACGAUCUACGGAUGAAAGCGGGGGAUCGCAAGACCUCGCGCGAUUGGAGCGGCCGAUAUCAGAUUAGUAGUUGGUGAGGUAAAGGCUCACCAAGCCAACGAUCUGUAGCUGGUCUGAGAGGACGACCAGCCACACUGGAACUGAGACACGGUCCAGACUCCUACGUGGAGGCAGCAGUGGGGAAUUAUUUGGACAAUGGACGCCAGUCUGAUCCAGCCAUUCCGCGUGCAGGACGAAGGCCUUCGGGUUGUAAACUGCUUUUGUACAGAACGAAAAGGUUUCUAUUAAUACUAGGGGCUCAUGACGGUACUGUAAGAAUAAGCACCGGCUAACUACGUGCCAGCAGCCGCGGUAAUACGUAGGGUGCAAGCGUUAAUCGGAAUUACUGGGCGUAAAGCGUGCCCAGGCGGUUAUGUAAGACACGAGGUGAAAAUCCCCGGGCUCAAACUGGGAACUGCCUUUAGUGACAUUGCAUAGGCUGGACAGUACGGGACGCAGGGGGAUGGAAUUCCGCGGUGUUAGCAGUGCAAAUAGCGUUACAUUAUUGCGGAAGGAAACACAGACUCGCGCAAGGCAAUCCCCUGGGGGACUUGUACUGACGCUC